GCGUCUGUCAGCCCCUUGGGAUGUAGGGGAUGUUUUUUUGUUGUACGUCAGUCUGGUGCAGCCUGCGCGUUUCUUCGAGGGUUUAUCCGCACGAAGAGAGCAGCCGCAGUGCCAAGCAUGGAGGAGCGGUGCGGGCACAGUGCCGUGGUGCGGAGUCCGGGGUUGAUGUUCCGCCCCGGCUGAGGCAAUACAGAGAGCAGCCAGUCCCGGCGCCCAGUUCCGUGGUGUGAUCGCGGUGCUGUGGUGCC
rnacentral:SRP_RNA from 1 species